UACGUAGGGCGCAAGCGUUGUCCGGAAUUAUUGGGCGUAAAGGGCGUGUAGGCGGUUUGUUAAGUCAUGUGUGAAAUCCCUCGGCUCAACCGGGGAACGACGCAUGAAACUGGGCAAGCUAGAGUACCAAAGAGGGGGGGUGGAAUUCCCGGGUGUAGCGGUGAAAUGCGCAGAUAUCAGGAGGAACACCGGUGGCGAAGGCGGGUCUCUGGGCCGAUACUGACGCUGAGGAGCGAAAGCGUGGGGAGCGAACAGG
rnacentral:rRNA from 1 species